GAAGCCUUCAGUCUCUAUGCACGCAGCAUGCCUUCCCAGCCUCCUGUGGUUGUAGAGUGUAUAGAAGGCAGUUGGAUCACUAUGGACAGCGGGUAAGAGCUGAGGAAGCAGCCUCCGCCAGGUGGUAACAUGGAGGACCCUGAAGUCCUCUCUCUUUCAGCCACACCCUGAAUUGUACUCUGUUACCUUAGAAGUAGUGCAUUUGAUGGUUGUUUUGAAAAAAUAAAUGAAUGAAGGAGGACCAGUUCAUAUUACCCUUCAAAAAGGCAUAGACCAUUGGCCAUUCUCUGACCAUCUCAAGCCAGAGGUGACUUGAUCUGUCACCCAGCUGUGGCCCAUGAGCAUUAUCUAAGGAGGAACAUUUUUGCUUACGUUUCCAGUGCUCUACAUAAGCCCUAGGCCCUGGGAGGCACUGAAAUGCUCAAUGGGAGCUCCAUGUGUGCAGGCUUAUGGACUGAAAUACUACUUUCAUGGCUCUGGCUAUGAACAUCAGCAUAUAGAGAAUGGAUCACUACCAAAGAAGGCACCCGAAUGUGUCUGUCUCAUCCUGGGGAAACUCAUUCAUCUGUAUAUGUACUCAGCAAGUGUUUCCUGGCACCUGCUCUGGGUCACAGUGCUGGGCACUGGAAGCUGAGAGAUGUGGAAGAAGGCUGGACAUUCAAGAUGAGAAGCCCGAGGCUGGUAAACUAGAGUCCAAGGGCAGAAAGCUGGGACAAUGGCUGGAGGAAGAAAUGAGAGGAUCUCUAUACCCAGGCCUUGGCUUCUAUGUCCCUUCUCGAAGUGGUUGAAGUGCAGAUUUCUGAUUCUGUACCCAGCCUCCAGGGACACAGUACACAGUAUGCUGGGAAUGGCGGUGGGUGUUUGAGGUACAUUACUUCCAGACAAAACAUGGCUGCAGAGGGAUACCAAAAGCAUCUUCUGGUGGCUGAAGCCCUGUCUGCACAAGUGUCUGUGUUCUUCAAUGGUUCAGGCAAGCUCAGACAGACCCUCUGCUUCUCUUAACCUGAGACACUAGUUUCCCCAAGAACUUUGAGCUGAAGGUUCCUUGCUGUGUCCCCUACCUGGCUGUGAGGACUUUGAGUAUAAUUAUCCUAUCUUAUUUGUUGCUGUGCUCCCAGUGUCUUGGAUGGAGCCUGACAUCUAGUCAGUGUUAGUAAAUGUUGAUGUGUAUUGAAUUUUGCAAGGAUCUGCAGCCCUGAGAAGAGGGGAUACUUCUUGGAAACCUCUGUGGGCUAAAUUGAGGGUUAAGGACUGGGACUGGAAGGCAGAGAUUCCAGAGUGAUAACCACAGUAGUUACUAUUUCAUGAGAGCCUCCAUGUGCCAGCCUCUAAGCUAGGCCCAUACCAUGCAUUACCUCUUGUCCCCACUUUACAGAAACUAAGGCUUAGACAAGUUAAGCAACUUGCUAAAGAUCAAACAACUCAAUAUGUGUUGGAGUCAAAUGAACGCAUUUCUUUUCCAUUUCCCUCAUUUACUCCACUAAUGACAGUACUUAAAUUGUAGACUAGGAAUUAAAAUAGCAGAAGCCUGACUUGAGAGGGCAGAGCCCCUGCGUUUGAGUGCCUGAAAGUCAGUCAUGGGUAGAAAGAACAGUCUUGUAGCAGAGCUCUGGGCAAGGGAGGAGCCGUGAGCAGGUGGACAUGAACUCACUGUGACAACUCUCCAACAGUGAAAGCAGGUUCCCAUGGAAUCCAGGGAAAUUACUGAAUAACUUUCAACACAAAAAUGUGUGCUAGUGAGCUGUAGAGCCUUUAUAUCCCCCCAAAACAUAUUAUGGGGGUGGGGGGGGGGCGCGGAAUUCUGAAUUUUUGUUGUUGUUGUUGUUGUUGAGACAGAGUUUUGCUGUUGUUGCCCAGGCUGGAGUGCAAUGGCACAAUCUUGGCUCUCCACAACCUCCGCCUCCUGGAUUCAAGCGAUUCUCCUGCCCCAGCCUCCAGAGUAGGGGCUGGGAUUGUAGACAUGCGCCACCACGCCUGGCUAAUUUUGUAUUUUUAGUAGAGAUAGGGUUUCUGCAUGUUGAUCAGGCUGGUCUCGAACUCCUGACCUCAGGUGAUCCACCCGCCUUGGCCUCCCAAAGUGCUGGGAUUACAGGUGUGUGCCACGGCGCCCGGCCUAAGUAAAUAGUUUGGAAAGCUGCAUCCAAUAGUCUCUUUUGAAGAUUCACAAUGCACCCUAGCUUGUUAACUAUUCCAAGAAGUCCCCGGAAAAGAAUGCUUGUUUGACUUUCUUGAAUCCAGUGUUGCCCAUGUUUAUUUGACUAGUGAGCAGGUUUUUUUGUUUGUUUGUUUGUUUUUUAAGUGACACUUUUUAACACUCUGAGGCAGUAAUAUUGUACUGAACACAUGGGGAAUCUUCUGUGGAAGUUUGGCCUGGAAUACAUCCUCUGUGUUCCUUCUCGCCCCGUGGCUGAGUGAGUGUGCUGUAAAAGCUUAGUGACAGAAAAGCCCCACUUAGCCUAUUUGUGAUGAUUUCCUAAACCGGGCAAAUAACUCAUCUGAAUGGCUGAGGUGAUAAACUCACAGGAGGAGAAGAUGCUGGAGGAAGUGUCAUGUGUCCUGCAUGUAGGUACCACUUCACCUCCCAGCAAGGCGAUGCUGAUAGCAACGUUUUCCUUGGGUGUUGAAUUUUCCAUCCUGCAAUUACGUCUUAAGCCAUAGAUAAAAUUCACAUCCACGUUUCACUCAAGAUAAACCUAACAUCAUAAUAAUACAGAAGAUUAAUUCAUUGGGGAAAAAUAGAAGAAAAUUGGUCUUGGCUUAAAGAGAAGUCAACAUUUAGAAUGUGUAGAAGGGGAUUUCUUCUGGAUCACACUCUGUCCUCAACAGUGGCAUGUGAAAAUGUAUGUGGUUCGCUUUAGUGCAUGCAUGUUUGUGCCUGUCCCACUGACACAUCCACAGUGUGACCCAUAGAGGUCCACUUCUAAGACCCCUAACUCUGAGUCCAACCCACCCUUUUGGGCUCACUGCAGUCAUUUCUCUCUGAAGUCUUCCUUGACAACCUAGGCAUCAUCAGUUUUUCUCUUCUCUGAUCAUCUUAGCAAGUGUAUCCAUAAGCUAUAAUCACAAUCAUGCUGCAUAACAAAACCAAAAACUCAAUGGCCAAUAACAAUGAACAUUUAUUUUUUGUUUUCAUGUCUAGAGGCCAGGUGGGGGGUGGCUGAUCUAAGCUGGGUUUUGCUCUAGGUUAGAUUUAGUCUAGGUUGGCCUCACAUGUCUCUCAUUCUUCAGGUGUCAGGAGGCCACCAUGGGCCUGAUCUUCAGGACAGAUGCCUCUUAAGACUUGGGCUUUGACUCAUACACUGUUACUGCCACCCAUGUCCUGUUGGCCAAAGUCAAUUUCAUUACCAAGCCCAAGAUCUGUGGAGUGGAGAAAUGCAUUUUGAAGGGGAGGGAGUCAAUCUGUAAUGAGCACCAUGAUGUACCAUAGAGCAUUUGUAGUCAUGAGCCUGAUUUAGACACUUGGUGGGGUAUCUCUGUGCUCUUAGGAAUUGUGUCUCUGUGUCUGUCAGAGGUGAUAACAUUGGAGCUGAGCCUUAAAAAAUAAAAGUUUCCUCAAACACCUCUGUGACUUCUGUGAUGCCUUCUGUUCACCACCCACAGUAGCACUGAAGGAAGAAAAGUAGUAACAUGUGAAGUGCAUAGGCAGCCCAGGGAGUCAUGCAUCCUAGUUCUGCAAGGAGGGUGCCCCUAGCCAGCCCUUGAUUGCCUCCCAGUUUUGGAGUUUGUAAGAGUCACAAAUAAUCACACUUCCCUCUCCUCAAAGUUCUGAACCAACUAAAAAUUAUACAUGGGAAUUUGAUGGGGAUGAAAAUAUGGACUUUAUAAGUAAAAAUGAAUUUGAGAACAGCUUGGACCUGAAGCUGAAGGGGUUUCCUUGAUACUUUUCAUCUGGAUCCUGUAGUCCACCUGAGGGUAGUUGUGGGUCUUCAUGGUGGACUUUUAACCAGAUGCAUGAAAAAUUGUGGCCAGGAGAGAGGCCACACCUGAGAGGGAUGUUUACACAUGAGAAACAUAGACCAGUGGGUGUCAGCCUCUUGCCACCUCAACAAUUAUGCCAAUUUCUCCUACACACAAAUGAAGGAGAGAAGAGCUAAGUGUGAAAGGAAAGAUGGAACUCUGUCCUCCCCAUCUAAUCCGGGAUGGAAGCUGUCUGUUGCAGGGACCAGCAUGAGGUGGGGAGGAAGGAUGACCCCGGUGAUCUAGAAAAUGGGACUGAUGCUAUUUAGACGGCUGCCAUCACUGAGUCAGCGGGUGUGGGCUUCUUUAUGCACUUGCUAGAAAUGGGCCAUCAGGCCACUCCUAGUGUGCCCUGGAGCAACUUGUUCUUGUCUGCAAGUCCAGAUGCAGAACACCUAACUCCACUCCACUUCAUCCCCAAAUCCCAACCCGUCUUCACUCAUUUCCGACUGAACCAAGCCACCUGAGUGUCGUGAGUUCACCUGUGUGUUCUUGCCAUCUCCUGGGAUGGAGUCCCCACAGGUCAGAACACUUGAACUCAUUGUGUAGAACCAGAUUCUCUCCCACACUUUUCUCUCUCCUCUCAGAGGCCAAUUUGUUCUGCAGUCAAUUCUGCAGAAGUUAGAAAUAAAGCAUGGUGACCAAUCAGAGAUGAGAGAGGGUGUGGUUGGGCUGAGAGUCACUUUUCAGAGCUUAUGAAAAGCUGCAAACCCGGUGGAUGGCUUACACUCUUUCCUCAAGGGCAACACACUGAGUGAGAGGGUGCUGGAGGGGGAUGCUGGGGAAAGCGAGCUUGUAUUCAAGGAGGCCUGUGGUGUCAUUAUUUACAGUGUCACACCUGAUCCUCCCAACGACCCCAUCUCUAGGCUCUGGAAGUUAGUGGUUAAGAGCACAUCUCUCAGGCUUGUUCACAUACAGUUGUGUGACCUUGGGCAAGUCUCUGUGCCUCAGUUUACUCAUCUGUAGAAUGUUGGUAGAGGAGGAUAUUAAGAGUAACUACCACAUAGUGGUGCUGGGAGGAUAAAAUGAUUUAAUAGAUGUGAUGGGCAGCUGUGGGGAUGGCUCCCAGUGAUCCCUGUCUCCAGGUAUCCAUGCCCUUGCUUGUAAGGAAGAGAAUAUGGCAAAGUUGAUAGGCUGUCUCUUCCAAGAUCAGGUUACAAGAGACUGUGAACUCCCUCUUGCUUACUUUCUCUUACUCUCUUUCUUACUCCAGUGGAAACCAACAGCGUGUUACGAGCUGCCCAGUGGAGAAACCCACACUACAAGAAACUGUGGAUGGCCUCCUCUGGUCAAUAGCCAGCUAGGAAUAAGGCCUUCAUCCAAUAGCCCAUGAGGAACUGAAUCCUGCCAAAAACCACACACGUGAGCUUAGAAGCAGAUCUUUCCCCAGUAGAGCCUUGAAAUGACUGCUGCCCCCACCUGACACCUUAACUGUGGUCUGUGUGAGACUCUGAAACAGGGGGCCCAGCUAAGCCAAGCCCAUAUUCCUGACCCACAGACGCUUUGAGAUAAUAUUGAAUAAAUUCUUGUGGUGUUAAGCCACUGAGUUUUAGGGUAAUUUGUUAGACAGCGAUAGAUAACGAAGACAAUACAUUAACAAUUCUUAAGAUACCCAGUGGAUAGUAAACCUUCAAUAGAUAUUGACUGUCUUUAUUAUUAAUAUCUCAGUUUCACAGAUGAGACAAAUGAGGCUCAGAGUGACUUCCCAGAGUUCGACAGUUAAUAUGCAGUAGAGUAGGGGCUCUGCCUUUGUUCUAUCUGACUUCAAAGUCAGUGCUCUCAAAGCAUCACUAUUUGGAAGACUCAGCUCCUUGAGGUGCCUAAGCAGGAUUUGUAGAAAAACAGAGGGCAGAUUUCCAUGGGCUGCCUUAGAUAGGUGAAUGACCCCUUAAGGCUGUAGAGGGCCAGGCCUAGGGCUGGGGAGAGCCAUGGCCAGCUCUUCAGGGAGUCUACAUGGGUAGGAGGACUAGCUCCUGCACCCAAACUUCACUAGGGGCUAGGUCUUCCAGCACAUGGGAGAACCAACGCAUGGCUGAGUCUGCUCCUAGAGUUUGUAAGAUGCUGUGUACUGAGAAAUGGAGCUCUGGUCUCUCCUCGCCCUCUGCUAUAGUUUCAAUGUGUUCCCCAAAAAGCAUGUGUUGGAAACUUAAUCCCCAAUGCAACAGUGUUGGGAAGUAGGGCCUAAUGGGAGGUGUUUAGGGCAUGAGGUCUCUGUCCUCAUGAAUGGAUUAAUGCCGAUUAUAAAAGGUCUUGAGCAUGUGAGUUCAUUCUCUUGCUCUCUCACAAUGCUGUCUUGCCCUUCCACCGUGAGCCAUGGGAUGAUGUAGGAAUCAUCCCAUGAUUGGUGGCACCUUCAUAUUAGACUAUGUUGGACUUCGCAGCCUCCAGAACUGUGAUAAACAAAUACCUUAUAAGUUACGACACCUCUGAUAUUGUGUUAUAGCAACACAAAACAGACUGAGACUCUUUCUCUCAUUCCCUCUGGGAGCUCAUGAACUAGGAGCCUGAGAUAAGCCCCAUUCAGAGGAGUCUCAUCUGAGCAAAGGCCGUUUUCGUUGCUAUCCUAUCAUGCUAUAGACAGCAAUGAUGAAUCAACUUAGCUGAUCGGAGGGCAGUCAGCACCAUCAGAAACAACAUGUCCUCUUAGCACAGUAACUGCUGGGAACAUCUACAAGAUUCCUCAGGGUGUAUGGGCAACAGACACAGGGAGCGUGCAGAGAGGCAGGUGGCACAGCCCCUGAUAUCUGCGGUGGUGAGACGCACAAUGGGAGCAGAUUCAAGCUUCACCACACAGACACUCAAAGAAUCAACGGAUACACGGAGACACCCAGGCACCUGCAUUAAUACCCAUAUACUCCCAGACACAUGGCCACACUCAUAGACACACCUACAGAAUGACACACUCAGACAUUCAGUGUGAAAGACACAAAUGCUCAGAUAAAUGCCCAGGUGGUAGGGAGGAACAUUAAAAUCCCACAACUCAUGUUUCCAGGGAGGGGAAGUCUUUUCCAUUGCACCAUGCAGGAGGGAAAAGUAUUGAAGGAACACUUCUUGCCCUUGUCCAUCCCCUCACCCAUUUCUCCCCAGAGGAGAGUUGGUGAGUUUGGGGGAGGAACAGAGCAUGCUCAGUCUAGUCUCCCCUAGGGCUUCUCUGUCUUUUACCCUGCCUGCCUGCAGAGGGGAAACAACAUUCUCAUCAGUCCUCUGGUACUGGGUGGCCUCUCAGGGUCGGCUUGGCCCCUCUGGGGAGUUGCCUGGUGUGACCAGUGCCGAUGGACACGUCUAUCUAAUUCAUUGGGGAAGAAUUUGCAGACCCUUUGGCUACAUAUCCAAAGCCACAUUCUUUACUUGACUGUACCCAGUAAUAGAGCUGACAUUCUGAUCUUCACCUCUAUCUCUGAGGCCUUAUUUCUCAGUUGGUGUCAAACUUGCGAUUCCCCGGUUCCAACACCAAAUAUUCCCACUUAGAGGAAAAACAGAAACAUGGACAAAUGUUCAAAGACACAGCAGAGAAACAUAGAUGAGAUGGUACAUUUGCUCUCCUGAGUGGAGGGAGGAUGGUUAGAAGAGCAGUUCAUGAGUCUGGCUGGGUGUUAGAAUCACCUGGGAAGAAUUACAAAUAGGUACUCAUGUCUGGGUCCUACUCCAGACAAACUGAUUCAGAAUCUACUGGGUCAGGGCCUGGGCAGUGGUCAAUUUUAAAGCUCCCCAGGUGAUUCUAACAGGCAGCUUCCCCACUCCCCAGCACUCCAUGAGGAGCAAAAGAGUGUUGGUGACUGGGGGCCUAACCCAUCGGUCACAGACCUCCCUCAGACGUCACUUGCUUCCAGCUAUAGCUCCAAAUUUCUCUCCUAUGGACAUUCUGGGGAUUCUGGUAGCAGCUGAGGGCUGUGCACUAAGCAGGCAAUUGCCUUUGGCUGCUGCUCUUCUGACUCUUCUAACUCUUCUGGUGGACCAUGGGGGCUGUCUCACCACUCUUCAAGCAGAAGUCCCUCACUCCUGCCUUGGAUCCCCAACACGUACGGAUGCUUAGGUCGACAUGGUAUUUUUCCUCUUGCUUUCAGUCUAGCUUCCUGUUGCAUCUCUGCUUGGUUGGCCCCUGGCAGAGCAGGUGCACAGGACACCGAGUGGAGAACUGGCCCCAGUGACAGUGGCUCGGCACAUGCUCUUCAUCCCAUAGCCAAAGGCACUUUCUUUGUGAUGCAUGGAGGCCAAACUCUUCUGCCAGCAACAGAGAAGCAAGGCCAGGCUGAUGGCUGCAAAAUGAGAGCGUGGUGUAAAGAUGGGAGCAGAGGUGGCGUGUACCCAUCCAGUGGCCUUGAUGCUUCUGUGAAUAUGGAG
rnacentral:lncRNA from 1 species